rnacentral:rRNA from 1 species
UACGUAGGUGGCAAGCGUUGUCCGGAUUUAUUGGGCGUAAAGAGCGUGUAGGCGGCCAGGUAGGUCUGCUGUGAAAACUCGAGGCUUAACCUCGAGAUGUCGGCGGAAACCAUCUGGCUAGAGUCCGGAAGAGGAGAGUGGAAUUCCUGGUGUAGCGGUGAAAUGCGCAGAUAUCAGGAAGAACACCGGUGGCGAAGGCGGCAUCCUGGACCAACACUGACACUGAGGAGCGAAAGCCAGGGGAGCAAACGGG